UAAGCGAAAGCCAAAGGAGAGGCGCCUAGCUGUUAAUUAGGAGAAUGUAACAAAUUUUACUCGUUUAG
rnacentral:tRNA from 1 species